AUGGGCGCAGCCUGAUCCAGCCUGCCGCGUGUCUGAAGAAGGCCUUCGGGUUGUAAAGGACUUUUGUCAGGGAAGAAAAGGUUGUGGCUAAUAUCCAUGACUGAUGACGGUACCUGAAGAAUAAGCACCGGCUAACUACGUGCCAGCAGCCGCGGUAAUACGUAGGGUGCGAGCGUUAAUCGGAAUUACUGGGCGUAAAGCGAGCCGCAGACGGUUACUUAAGCAGGAUGUGAAAUCCCCGGGCUCAACCUGGGAACUGCGUUCUGAACUGGGUGACUAGAGUAUGUCAGAGGGGGGUAGAAUUCCACGUGUAGCAGUGAAAUGCGUAGAGAUGUGGAGGAAUACC
rnacentral:rRNA from 1 species